UGGAUGAGCGAUUUCUCGAAGAUUGUUUCUUCUUACUCGAGUCCUUUGAAAAAACAAAGUUGGUGAGCCUUUCCGUGGCUACGAUUGUCCCGAUCACAUCGGUGACAUUCCUUCGAUGUAAUUCUUGUUGUGCUUACGACUUCAAGCCAUCAAGGGAGCUGAACAACUUGUCCUUCUCGGACAUGUCUUGUAUGUCCAGUGUCAGUGUAGAAAAUUGCUUUACGUAGCCUCGAGUGGAAGUACUUUGGCAGAGUUGUCUCAGCUUCCUUGUAACAAACUUCAUGUUCUCGGGUAGGAACUGAGUUCUCAACUCCCGCUUCAAGUCCUCUCAUGUGUCCACUCGAUACUAACCUUGUUGGAUCUCUUCUCAACGUGUUUACCACCAAAGUUUUACAUUCUCAUUCAGAUGAUUGUUAUCGAAACUUUGGUUUCUUUAGAAUCAGGCCUCGUAGAUCGAAAGUAUUGUUCCAUAUUGAAUAGGAAACUCUCGAGCUCCUUCACAUCCCUGGCACCCCCAUAGCAAUGCGGCUCUGGUGCUCUCAAGUUUUGUGACGGAGCAACGCGGGUGUUGCUUCCUCCCCGCAUUAAGAGCCCUUGUGAGCAAUAUAAUCCUUGACAUGAGUUCUUUCACAACUUCGUGUAGGUGUUGCACGGAGUCUUUGGUGUCUUCCAUCAAUCAAUCAACUAGGGAAUCAACCUUGUCGAUCCGAGAUUCCGCCUCUUAUGAGUUCUCUACCCUAAGAAGUCUUAAUUGGCCUUGAUAGAGUUCCUCUAAACUCACUUCAAGAACGUCAAGGCAGGUUUCUGUAGCUGUAAGCCUCUCCUUAUGGCUUCUUUUCCCAGUUGGCGCUCCGGAUUGUGCUUUCUCCGCUCGCGGAGAAAAGUCAACUUCUCGCUCGUCUUGUUCGCUAUUGUGCUCCUCUUGAGCAGCUUCAACAGCUUGAGAGCGAGUUUGCACUUGCAGCCCACUUGUGGCUACUUGGGGCAAUUAUCUGGCUUGCCCCAUUUUACUUGAUUCGGCACGAUGCUUCACCAUGGUGAGAUUGCGAAACUUUUGUUGUUUGGACGAAUUGCUUGCCCGCUCUGAUACUAUAAUGUCACGGACUUAGUUGGAAUUGCCUGAGUUAUGAGGUACCUUUGCGCCAAUGUCAUGGACUUAGCUAGGAUUGCCUAAGUCAUGGGGCACCCCUUGCUUAUCCGUUCGCAAAGGGUUAGUCUAGUUGCAACCUCUCUCAGGUCUCGAAGGAUCUGUAAAAGAACAAAUUGAUUAGUUCAAAAGCAUGCGACGGAUAAGUCUCGACGUCUCGCGAAGAGGGCAGCUUUACAAGCAAUUCAGUAAACACUCUACGUGCAAGAGAAAAAAGAGAAGGAUAAAACAAGGACUUUAGAAGGAAAACGAAUGGUUGCAAGUUCGCAAACGAUUGCUCACUGGGUGUCAGGCACGAUGGCAAGUUUUCGUAGGCUUAACGUGGCAAGUUUUCAUAGGCUUAAUGUGCGAACUUGUGUAUCCAAUCAAUGCCCAACACUACCCUAAACCCCCAUCUAGCCCUGUGCCACUUGGGGGGUUCUAGGGUGCUGAGAUGAUUGACGUUUCACACCUCACCGCAGCCUCCAGAAAACAGGCCAUGACAUGUGAAAAUUGGGCCAUUUUGGGGCAGUUUUGUCCAUUCUGGUGAGCGGUCGCUCUCCAGUGCUGCAAACUAUUCCUGCUCAUAGUUUUUAAGCAAAAACAUACAAAAACAAGGCAAAACACGUUGCCAAACAUAUGUGUGAGCAAACAAAAGCGAUAAACAGUCCAUUGACGAAGAUGUUGUCGGUGCAUAAUGAUCGUUCGUGACAGUAUGGUUCAUAAACAAUGCUUGCUUGGAUUGAUAAAAACCAAUCGAUAUGUGGUGUGAAUGAGAGAGUGACGUUUAGACUAUAUGAUCAAAUUUCUUAACAUUUUUUUUAUCGAUCUGAAUGAACAGAAUCAUAGCUUUGCGAGGAAUCAAACUCUGGAAUACAAAGUCCAUUUAGUAUCUCCACCUGCGCCCAUCAACCCUUUCUGCUGUACAUCUGGGCUGCUUUGUGACAUGCAGUUAACAAGAUUUAAACCCAUAUACAAACCGGAUAUAUGUUAAUUUGGUUUGGAUAAUGAGAAAGAACAUGUUUCAGUCUUCUUUCAGUCUUAAGCUGUGUGGACUGUCAUAGGCAGAUUAGUUAGCAUUAUGCUAUUAUACCUGCAGAGAUUCUCUUAUCUUUAUCAGCUCCUGAUAGAAAUUUGAGACCUUCAUUCCUUUUACACAGAUGAAGUGAUGGUAUUCCUUUUCUUACAAACUUAACUUGGAUUAGUUAUUUGUUAUUAUAUUAUAUCCUUCGUAUUUUUCAUUCAUGUUACCUGAAAAUGAUGUGGGACUUCCCUGUUUGAAACCUGAGUUUCCUUUUAACUAGAUUCAAGGAGUAGAAGAAAUGCUUUCCUUGUAGUAUAUCGCUUUUGAAAUGCUCCCAAUAACUUUAACAUUCAACUGUUGUGAAUAGAGAUGGACAUAGCUCUAAGAAUGUAACUUUACUUUUUAGAUAGCAUUAGUGAAGUGAAAGUUGGAUAUAAUAUUAUUACUUGUUUUUUCUACUUGGUCAUUUUGUCUAUUUUAACUGAUUUCUCUUGGUUUCUUGUUAAAUUUACCUGAAUAUUUGUGAUUUUAUGUUCCUAUGGUAUUAAUAGCACAUGGUAACCUUAUAUACAGAGUCUAGAUUUUCUGUUGCUGCUCCAUUUAUCUAUUUCUGCAUUGCUUUUGCUCUCUGAUUGCAGUUCUAUUUUCUCUGUACUACCUAUCUAUUGUCUGAACAUUUUCAUCUCUUGCAAUGAGGGAGGCCUUAUUUGACAAAUAUUUUGUCAGUCCUUUAUUUGGUUUUUCUACAUGUUUUAUUAUCUAUUGUAAAUGAACAUGGUUUAAAGGUAGCUGAAUCGGCUUUAUUCAUACAUUUUUUCCAUCAGUUUAGAGUUUCUAUUGCUGUUCUUCUGACUGCAGCUUUCUUUCUUUUUUUUUUCUUUUUUGUUGCACCAUCUGGAAGAUCUCCAGCACUUGAGAUGCCUACUUUUCUUUAAAUGACCAUGAUCUAUAUCCAUUUUUCAUACAUAUCAUAACGUCAAUUGAUGAUGAAGGCGGAUUACAGGUUGCUGAACGGGCGUUAUUCCUCUGGAACAAUGAUCAUAUAGUGAGCUUAAUUGCUCAAAAUCGCAGUGUAAUAUUUCCCAUCAUAUUUGAAGCACUGGAGAAGAACAUGCAGGCCCAUUGGAACCAAGCGAUUCAUGGCCUAACAGCAAACGUGCGGAAAAUGUUCCUUGACAUGGACAGCGAGCUGUUCGAGGAGUGCCAGCGACAAUACGAAGAAAAGGAAGCGAAGGCAAAAUCAGUGGAAGAGCAAAGAGAGUUGGCAUGGAGAAGGCUGGAAGCCGUUGUUGAAGCCAAGGCCGGAGGAGAAGACAUGGUUCUAGCCAAUUAGCCAAAUUUGUGGUUGUAUUGUAAGUUAAAUGUAUCAUCUGUGGAUAUGCCUCGGAUCAUGUCAGGUUUCAAGGUUUUCUUUUUUGUCUCCUUUUGUGCAUUUCAAAGAGAGAUGCCGUAUUUUAUUCCAUUCACGAUCUUUUUCUUUUUAUUGGUUUCCUGCAGUGCAAAGAUUUCGAACUUAAUAUGUAUUUCUUUCAGUCUGUUUUGACAUCUACCGACUGCUGAUGCAUUGUGGAAUCAUAUAAUUGCUGAGAAACAACAGUGGAGAUGCUGAGCUCAAAAUAUUUGUUGGUUUUUUUAUGGGAUGAUUUCUUAAGAUAUGAAUGAGAAUUGUGAAUAAAUUAAUUAUUCACAGUUCAUUCAACAACAGUUGGUAAGAAUCGUCGAGCUUUCAUGUAUCCAUUCAUUGCAUGAACAUUGUAUUAUAUCAAGGUCACGCUUACUAGACAUCAAGUCCUUAUGUUUUUGACUGCCUAUAUUGUGUCCUUAGCAUCAGAGUCUCCUCAAAGAUACAUAUCCAUAGUUGGCUCAUAAAAUUAUGGUGGCGAAUGAAAGGCUCAUUUGAGAAAAACAAUAAGGAGAAUCAACAAUAAAGUCAUGAAUUAUAAUGGAACUUUCUUUUUCUUGAUCAAAAAGAACUUCCAAGAUAAAGUUUGUAGUCUAAAAGAUGGAAGUUAUGCAUAUAUCUUUCAAUUGGCAUAAUAAGAACCAUAAAUACUACUUGAUGAGUUUGAUUUAAGGAAAUUGACCGAUAAUGUAGGGUUGAUAUAAUGAUCAGAAUGCUCCUUUAUCAGAUCAAUAUUUUGUGUCAUGAUAAUAGUCUCUAAAUAUAGAGGCAACAGAAAUAUCACAUAUUGGGUAAGCCUUUUAGCCAAUAACGGAUGUUGACCUGCUGCGUCAAGUAUAAGUCCCACAGGAUUGGAGGCUGAAUGAUUGAGCUACGAAGGAUCGUACAAGCAAGUUUUUCCUGGUCGUGGCGAGAGGAGGUAGCAGAAGAGGGAGGUGGCUGCAGCCACACCAAGACUAAGUAGGGGAAGGUUGCGGUGGCGACACUGAUGACUAGGAAAGGAAGGCAGAAGGGAGAAGGGAUAGAGGAGGGAGUAAAGGACGGGAUUGGCAUAAACAACACCAAAGAUGCAAAAGCAGAGUCAUGUCACUUGAUGGAGUCACAAGGAUUAUAAUAAUGAUGUAAUCAAGAAACACUCUUACCCACUUUUAGUAAGAAACAAUAUUGAUAGACACAAUCUUCAACAAAGUUGACCACCAUCCAAUUGACACAGAAUACAUUUAACAAGCUCUGCAUCCUUGCAAGAUUCAAAGAAAAUUGAGAUAAACAAGCACGUAGCUGCAUUUUGGAAAGUCUUUCUUCUACUUAUUGGGGACACCUGACAAAAGAUGUGCAGUGACCUCUGAAUGAAGCAGCUGGUGGAUACAUCACUAUGAAAAAACUCUUGGGCUAGUCAGUCAAUAUGUUAUCGACACAAAGUCUGUGCAACUCACUGCCAUCUAUAAGCCUUCUGAUUCCAGCUUUUAGUUCAGGUACUCCCUCUUGCAAGACAGAACAUACAGGAAAUAUAGGGACGUCUUGGACCCUUCUCUCUAGUUCUUGGAACACAUGUUCUGCACCCUCUUCAUCAAUUUUGUUGGCCACUAUUAAGGACGGUCGAUUUGACAAACCUUCCCGGUGAUGUUCAAGCUCCAAAGCCAAAUCCCUCAGUUGCUCCCAUGGCGGAAUACCCUUCCUCCCAUCCAAUGCUGCUGCUAAAUCAACGACAUAUGCCAAAACCCUUGUGCGCUCUAUGUGCCUCAAGAAAGCAUGGCCAAGCCCACGAUUUGCAUGUGCUCCUUUUAUAAGACCAGGGAUGUCAGCAACCUUGACAGAGAAGAAGUCCUCGUAAUUUAGAUUUCCUAUGUUGGGCCUUAGAGUGGUAAAAGCAUAAUGACCCACAGUUGGCCUAGCCAUUGAUAGGGCCCCUAGCAAUGUGCUUUUACCAGCAUUAGGCAUUCCAAUAAGGCCAACAUCUGCAAUACUCUUCAGUUCCAGUAUAAGAACACUUUCAGAGCCAGGUCUUCCAGCAGCCAAUGAAGUUUGAUAUUCACCAUCCAAAGUUUCUGGACUUGAAGCACCAUUGCAGUAACUGACACUUUUGCGAGAAUCCUUUUUUGAAGUAGCAUUACCAAGGCCACCCUCUCCUCCUCGUGCAACUAUUAUUCUUUGCCCAGGUUGAGUUAAUUCUGCAACUGAAUAUCGCACCACCUCCUCUUCUUCUUCCUCCUUCAUCACCUCCUCAUCUUCCUCUACUCUGAUUUCAUUUGCAUCAUCAGUUUGAUCAUCUUUAAUUUCCUCGUAGGUAGUUUUGCAACAUGGUUCAUCAUCUUCGGUGUCUUUGUCCCACUCUACCUCAGUGGAGGCAGGAGAACCAAAACUUAUUUUGACAUCAUGCUGUGAUUUAUUAACAUCAUCUUCGGAGUACAAAGGUGACGUAUGCAAAUCUUUCAUUAGUGCUGAACAAGAUGCAUUGACCUUAACACUUUUUUGCUGAACAGAAUUAGCUGUAUCAGUGUCAACAGCUCCUGGUAUUUCCCAAGGGUCUAAGGAUGUGAUAGAAGAGUUUUCAGCAUAAGAAGUUUCACCACUAACUAGGUGUAUUACAGUGCCAACUGGUACUUGAGCAACCUGCCAGAUAUAAGAACUAAGUGCUUGACAUACCACAAAGAAAUCACACAAGAUGUUAAUUGAGAAAGACACUGGAAAUUCACCUUGUCAGACCCACGGCUCCCUGCUUUACUCUUUGAAGUUCCAUUCCCUCCUCUUUGUGCAUUCUGGAAAACAAGGUCUAGUCAUAGCUUACAAUAUCACGUAGUAGACUGUUUAAGCCCCUCAACAACAAGCAUGCUUAUAUAAAACUAAAUGAGCUUACUUGUGUACACAUUAUGAAGAAUCCCGUUAAAGCUAUCAGGCAUUGUACAAAAAGCAUAAUGGUACUCCAACAAAGUAACAGAAUAGACAGAAAGGCUUCGAUCAUACCAAGUGAUGCUGCAAAUUGCUGAAGUCCCAAACAGCUGAAGAGCAUUCAAGGAUGACAUCACCACCUCUUCCACCAUUUCCACCUGUAUUUAUUGAAAGAAGAAUUACUACUUUGGCAGACUAGCCAACACUGUUAAGUAACUUGAGAUUAUUAAAACUGAUUCACUACUUCGAAAAUAGCAAAGAUAUGAAAUUUCAAGCACACAAUUUGAUUAAACACAAACAAAUAUGGUAUAGCUGGGGUCAUUUUGUUUGGGAAAUUUCACAAACAGAUAGGCUACAUGUUUCGAAUAUCAAUAAUCUGCCUUCUAACUAAUGAGAAAAUUUCAGAAUCGUGAGUUAUCAGUACAAUUAUAUAUUUUGAUUACAAUGUUGUAAUUCUGACAAACUAACUAAACCAAAAGAUAUUAUAGUUCCACCAUCAGGUCUGCCAUAACGGUCAGUCCUGCUGCGUCUAUAGCUGCAACACCCAUUUCCACCUUCGCCUCCCUUGGUCCAUAACCUAAACCUAUCAACCAUCCUCCGUUCCUGUAAAGGAUGAACAAACGAGGUAAAAGCUUCCGUGCCAUAAGCCAAUAAGAAACACCAUACAAAUUAGAGCAGUAAAAUUAGCUUGAACCUAGUUUUCAACCAAAGAAAGACAACAAAAAGAUCUUGUGCCCAAAAACGAGGUAAAGGAGUGAUUUUGAUCCAUAGAAAACCGAAUGGGCGGGUACAUGCGGAAAUGACAAAAAAGUAGGAACAUUACAACAAAAAAAAGUGAAACACGAAAAACCUUUCAAUUAAAUACAAGAACGAAUGGAGAGAUCUCAUGGAACAAUUGGCGAGUGGCAGUGGAUACCUGCAAAGGUGCCAACUUUCCCUUCUUUUUGGGGACAUCAGAGUAAGAGAAGGAAGAAGGAAGCCAUGGCGGUUUACGACAAGGCGAUCUUAGCAGUACUCUGCCCGGCCCAAGGGUUUGGUGCCAGCGCCACCACAUGUCUCGCUCGCAGCAGCGCAACAAGCGACUUUGCUCUAAUCUCGACGAACAACUCAGAAGCAGUUCUCCCGACAGAAACAAAUUUCGGGGGUUUUCUUGCAAUUAUAUAUAUAUAAAUAUAAAUAUAUAUAUAUAUAUAAAUAUAUAUAUAUAUAAAUAAAUAAAUAUAUAUAUAUAUAAAUAAAUAAAUAUAUAUAUAUAUAUAUAUAUAUAUAAAUAUAUAUAUAUAUAUAUAUAUAUACAUCCUUACCCAAAAACAAAAAAUUCUACUGUUGGGUUUUAAUCUAAUGAUUAUAUGGAUAUUUUAUCUAAUUGAUUUUUAUCGGGGACGCCCAUUUUCCACCGGUCACCCAUCGUGAGCGGCGUGGCCCUUCACCUCCGCCCCCGCUCCCACCGCGUGCGACGUCGCCCCAUCCGCCUUCGCCACUCCCGCCCCGCCCCUUCUAGUUGGCGCUCUCCAUCUUCCUCCUUGUCACCACUGCCCUCCAGGUCACCUACGACGCCCUUUGGCCCCACUUGUGGGCCCCUUGCCCUGUCAACCCCAACCGCACCCUCAGCGUUGCCCAUCCCACUCUCGGUCGAUCCGCCUUCCUCAUCCUCUGCUCGUGUCGCCCUCCGCCACUCCCUCUUCCUCCCAAUCAAAGAGCUCCCUCCUCGCGCUGCCCUUCGCCGCUCCCUCAGCUCUUGCCCACGCUGUUGCCUUCCUUACGGAUGCUUCGAUCGCGAAGAAGGCGAGUAAGAGGAGCAUGGAGCAGAUGGUAAGCGAGCCGACGAUGCCUUUCUCCUCAAAGAGGCUGGACUUGGAGAACUCGGCGAUGAGGCGAUGGAGUCGCAGUAAUCAGCAAGAUGGUGAACGAAGAACCGAUAGCAUGUUUUAAAUGCUUUUGCUUAGAAAAUAUAAAUAGUUUGUAGCCCUCCAAUGCAACCGCUCACGAUAUCAAGUCGAAUUAUUUCAAAAUGAUUCCGUUUUCACCUGUCACGGCUUGUUUAAUGCACGUCAUAAUUGCAUACGAAACAUCAGCCAUCUCAGCACCCUAGAACCCCCCGGGUGGCACAAAGCUAGAUGAGGCUUCGAUAUGUUAUCGAGCGUUGAACAAUCUUCAUAAGUUCGCACGUUAACUUGACGGAAACUUGCCUUUGCAUCCGACACCCGAUGAGCAGUUGUUUGUGGACUUGCAACUGUUCGUUCUAUCUUCUAAAAGUCAUUGUUUUCUCCUUCUCUCUUUUUUUUUAUCUUGCACUCAAAGUACUCGUUGAAUUGCUUGUAAAGCUUUUCUUUUCGCGAGACGUCGGAAUUUGUCCCUCGCUCGUUUUGUAAUUAAUCAACUUUCUCUUUUAUAGGUCCUUCGAGACAUGAGUAAGGUUGCAAAUUGGCUAACCCUUUGCGGACGCAUAUCGCAAGGGCGUACCAUGACUUAGGCAAUCACAACUAAGUCCUGGAGGUUAGUGCAAGAAUGCUUUGCGACUUAGGCAAUUCAAGCUAAGUUCGCAACUUUGCCGCAAUGGUGUCUCACGACUUAGGCAAUUAUAGCGAAGUCCAUGACACUGUGGUAUCAAAGCCAGGUUACAAUUUGAGUAAGUAGUGAAGAAACUUCGCAAUCUCGCCAUGGCAAAGCAUUGUGGUGAAUUGAGCAAGACGGGACAAGUCGGACCAUUGCCCCAAGCAAUCGUAGGUGGGUUGCAAGUGCAAACUCGCUCUCAUGUUGGUGGAGCUACUUUGGAGGAUCAUGUCAGCGAACAUGAUGAGCGAGAAGUUGUCUACUCUCCACGAGCGGAGGAGACGCAAUCUAGAGCGCCAAUUGGAAAAAAUAGCUAUAAGGAGAGACUCACGACGGUAGAAACCCGCCUAGAUGUUCUUGAAGCGAGCUUGGAGGUACUCUACCAAAGCCAACAAAGGCUUCUUGGGGUAGAGAGCUCACAAGAACAAGAUGAAUCCUGAAUCGACAAGGUUGAGGCCCUAGUCGAUCGAAUGACAGAUGAUACCAAAGACUCCAUACAAUGUUUGCAUGAGGUCGUGGCAGAACUCACUUCUAGAGUGACAGUGCUCACAAGGGUACUAAAUGCAGGAGCGACCAAUACCCAUGUCGCGCUACCACAAAACUUGAGGGCAUCUGAGCCUCAUUGCUAUGGAGGUGCUAGGGACACGAAAGAACUCGAGAAUUUCUUGUUUGACAUGGAAUAGUACUUUCGAGCUACAAGGCUUGUCUAAAGAUACUAAAGUUUCAAUAGUAUCUGAAUGAGGAUGCAAAACUUUGGUGGCGGACCCGUUGGGAGGAGAUCCAACAAGGUUGGUGUCAAGUGGACACAUGAGAUGACUUAAAGCGGGAGUUGAGAACUCAAUUCCUACUUGAGAACAUACAGUUCAUCACAAGAAGAAAGUUGAGACAACUCCACUAAAGUACUUCCAUCCGAGACUACGUGAAGCAAUUUUUUGCACUGAUGUUGGACACACAGGACAUGCCCAAGAAGGAUAAGCUGUUCAGCUUCCUCGAUGGUUUGAAACCAUGGGCUCAAACAAUAAUUGCAUCGAAGGAAUGUCACCGAUGUGAUCGGGGUAAUUGCGGUCGCAAAAAGGCUCACCGACUUUGUUUCCUCGGAGGACUUGAGGAAAAGGAAAUAAUCUUCAGGAAACUACCCUCCAAAAUAUUCUUGAGGGAAGGAGCUCGGGGGCAAACAAAGGAAGAAGAGUUCCCACAAAGGGCUAAGCUCAAAAGGCAAGGGCCCAAAACCUAGCGGAUGCUUCUUGUGCGGAGGGCCACACAUGGUGAGGGAGUGCCCACAGAAACAUACACUCAAUGCUUUAACAACUUCAAUCCACCCCCCAAAUCAAACAAAGGCAAGGUCGUCGCCCUCAGUUCAAGCAGUUCAGAAUCUAGUAGCGACGAUGAGAAGUUGCAAGGUCCCCAAAAGGGAGUAAUGCAUUUGUUGAAUGCAUUGCGAGGUCAAGUGGGGGAGAACAUGAAGGCAAAGCUAUUAAAAGCAGGGAGUAGAGAGCUAAUGUACGUGGACAUUAAGCUCAAUGGCCAAACAACCUGUGCAAUGGUAGACACGGGCACCACCCACAACUUCAUUGUCGAUCGAGAAGCAAAGCGACUUGGGUUGAUCUUGGAGAAUAACCCAAGUCGGAUGAAGGCAAUGAACUCGGAGGCUAAGCGGAUCUCUGGACUAGCAAAGGGAGUUUUCAUCAAGAUCGGGACAUGGAGCGAGAGCACAAACAUGAUGACGGUGCCACUGAAUGACUUCCAAGUAAUUCUCGGAAUGAAGUUCAUGCACGGAGUAAAGUUGGUGCCUAUGUCAUUUUUGAACUCCCUAUAUUUGAUGGGAGGCAACGACCCCUAUGUGGUUCUCAUCUCUCAGAGUGGAACCAAGGACCCCCAACAAAUAUCGAAAUUACAAUUGAAGAAAGGGGUACGAAAAGGAGAAUUAACCUUCGUGGCUGUUGUGAAGCUAGAGCCACUCGACAAGGAGAUCAUUUACAAACCUACUAUGUUGGUGAACAUUCUGAAGGAGUUUAUAGACGUUAUGCCACCUGAGUUGCCGAAAUGUGAAGCUGCAUUCCAAGAUCUGAAGGCUGUUGUGUUGGACGGACCGGUGCUCAAAUUGUCAGACUAUGGGGAGUCCUUCGAAGUCCAUAUAGAUGCUUCAAAUUUCGCUAUUGGGGGAGUACUCAUGUAAGAGGGUCACUCGGUGGCCUACGAGAGUCGCAAGCUCAACGAGACUGAGCGACGGUAUCUGGUGCAUGAGAAGGAGAUGACAGCGGUGGUCCAUUGUCUACGAAUUUGGCGGCACUACCUUCUCGGAUCGCGAUUUGUGUUAAGGACAGGCAACAUCGCUUUGAGCUAUUUCCAAACUCAAAAGAAACUCUCCCCAAAGUAAGUACGAUGGCAAGACUUCUUAGUUGAGUUUGAUAUGGCAAUGGAGUACAAGCCCGGAAAAGUAAAUGUCGUGGCCAACGUAUUGAGCAGGAAAGUGGAGCGAGUGAAUGUGAUACAGUUGGAAGGCAGAGGCCAAGUAAGUCAAUUUCACUCCAACUUCCUUUCCGGGAUCAGGGAUGGACUAUACAAUGAUCUUCAAGCAGUAACCCUGAUGCAGCUCAUCAAAGAAGACAAGGCAUGACAAUUCUGGGUCCAUGAGGGACUCAUUUACACAAAAGUGAAUAGAGUUUAUGUUCCUCAAGUGAACAAUUUGAGAAAUGAACUCUUGAGAGAGUGUCACGAUUCCCUUUGGGCUGGACAUCCGGGUAUUCACAGAACUUUAGCUCUCGUAGAGAGGGCCUUCUACUGGCCGAAGAUAGGGACUGAUGUGGAGGAAUAUGUUCGAACGUGCCUCACUUGCCAACAAGAUAAGGUGGAGUAGCGGAAGCCGGUGGGACUUUUAGAGAUGUUGCUCAUACCAGAAAGGUCAUGGGAGAGCAUUUCCUUGGACUUCAUAUCAAGCUCACUGACAAUAGGGGGACUCGGAUUGAUACUCGUGAUGGUCGAUCGAUUUUCAAAGUAUGCAACUUUCAUUGCUGCACUCAUAUCCUAUUCAGUAGAGGAGGCGACCAAGCUGAUGAUGAACAAUGUGGUGAAGUAUUGGGGAGUCCCGCACAAUAUCAUUAGUGAUCGAGACACUCGAUUCCUAUGACGAUUCUGGACUGAGCUAUUCAAAUUGUUGGGGUCUAAGUUAUACUUCUUAAUAAGCCUCCACCCUCAAACGGAUGGCCAAACCGAAAUGAUAAACUUACUCCUUGGGCAAUAUCUUCAACACUACGUGAGUGCCAACCAACGAGAUUAGGUGAAGCUAUUGGACAAAGUCCAAUUCUCCUAUAGCUUGUAGCAGAGCUCUACGUCCAACAAAAGCCCCUUCGAGAUCAUUACAGGACAACAGCCAUCAACUCCUCACACAUUGGCUAUCGGGUAUACCGGGAGUAGUUUGUCAGCAUAUCACUUUGUAAGAGAAUGACACCAAAAUACAGAUAUUGCGCGGGCUUACUUAGAGAAGGCGACCAAAAAGAUGAAGAAGUGGGCCGACUUGGGAAGGCGACCACAAGAGUUCAAAGUCAGCGAUUUGGUGUUGUUGAAGCUCCAACCAGUAUAACUCUAGUAUUUUAGGCAUAAAGUACACAAAGGAUUGGUGUGCAAGUAUGAAGGGUCAUUCCUAAUUAUCAGUAGAGUGGGCAAUGUCUCUUAUAAGUUGUAGCUACUGGCGUGACUCAAAAUUCAUAAUGUUUUUCACGCUAGCAACUUGAAAACCUACCACUCAGAUCUGCAAAAUGCUUCCCGAAGUGUUCCAACUCAGCUACCCCCCACCAGAGCCUCAUACGAGAAGUGAGUUGAAACCAUUUUAGCAGAUCGCAAGAUAAAGCUACCCAAUAGAGUUGAGCAGACCAAGUACUUGGUGAAGUGGUGAAAACUUUCCCGAAUUGAAGCUAGUUGGGAGCCCGAAGAUGCCCUAUGAUACGAAGAAGCAAUCAUCAACAAUUACUAACAAGUGUCGAUGAGGGCGUCAACUGUUUAAGUGGGGGAGAAGGUCACAAACGGUCAUCGCGCACCCGCAAUAAUUUCAUUCAACAAAUCGUUCAUCACUUUUGUAUGCUUGUACAGAGAUAUGACAACAUGUUUUGCUUUGCUUUUGUGUGUUUUUUCUUAGAAAAUAUAAGCAACGAUAGUUCGCAGCGCUGUAGCGCGAUCGCUCGUCGCAUCGGGCCGAAUUGCCCCAAAAUAGCUUCGUUUUCACGUGCUAUGAUUUGUUUUUUGCACGCCACAGUUGUACACGAAACAUUAGCCAUCUCAGCACCCUAGAACCCCCCGGGUGGCAUAGGGCUGGAUGGGGCUUCGAUAUAUUAUCGGGUGUUGAACAAUCUUCACAAGUUCACGCGUUUACUUGACGAGAACUUACCUUCGCGCCAAGCACCCGGUGAGCAGUUGUUUGUAGACUUGCAACUAUUUGUUCUACCUUCUAAAGUUCUUAUUUUUUUCUUCUCUCUCUUUUCUCUCUUGCACUCAAGGUACUUACUGAAUUGCUUAUAAAGUUUCCAUUUUCGCGAGACAUCGGGACUUGCAUGUCGCUUAUUUUCGAACUAAUCAACUUUCUCUUUUACAGGUCCUUCGGGACCUGAGUGAGGUUGCAAAUUGGCUAACCCUUUGUGGACGCAUAUAGCAAGGGCGUGCCAUGACUUAGGCAAUCCCAACUAUGUCCAAGAAGUUGACACAUGGGUGCUUCGCGACUUAGGCAACUCAAGCUAAGUUCACGACUUUGCCGCAAUGGUGCCUCAUGACUUUGGCAAUUCCAACUAAGUCUGUGAAACUAUGAAUGACUCGGAGGGCAUGUUAGGAAAGAGUCAGCACUAAGAGGGGGGGUGAAUUAGUGCAGUGGUAAAAAUUACUUCGGUUUCGAAAACUUUUCAUACGAAAAAAAAUCGAACUCGAAAAUGCUUAACUUGAAACACGUGUUCGUAAAUGUAUUGAAGGCAGUAAGCUAUUAAAGAGGUUUGUAGUAAAGAUAAAUUGCUCAAAGUAAAAUGCAAACCAGAUUUUAGAGUAGUUCGGUCGUCGUGACCUACAUCCACUUCGCCGAUUCCUCUUCCGUCGAGGCCAUCGGCAUCCACUAUCGAUCUUCCUUUAAUAGGCAAAGAUCAACCUCCUUCUUACACCCCUCUUCUUUUUUUACCGGGUUUAGGAGACAAUCCUUACAAGCACUCACUCCUCAUAAACAGAAUUCUAGACUUAGACUUAGAGGAGGGGAUUUCUCAAGUGAUUGCAAUAGCGUUUCUUCACUUUUAAACUCUUUGUGCUUGUGUAUGUUAACUAGGGAUAAGAGGGGUAUUUAUAGGCCUUAAGUUAAUUCAAACUUGGAGCUUAAAAACAUCUCAUCCCGAGUUUUCUAGGUCCGGGCGGUACCACCGCCAAUGUCAGUCUGACACUAACACUGCAUUGAGUGGUACCACUGCUUGCAGCCUCUUGGAGGCUGUGUCUGGGCAGUACCACCGCCCAGACCGGUGGUACCACCGUCUGAUAUAGUCUCGGAGAUUGUGCCACGACGGUGUCACAUCUUGGGGCACUGUUUGGUCCUUUUCAUUGGGCCCAACACAGUUCUUACAUGGGCCCAAUUGGCCCAUAAUUAGGUUGGCCCAAAUCCAAACCUAAUUAUAUGCUAACUACGAUUCCUAAGACAUACUUAAGCUAAACAAGUCCGUAAGUCUUGGUUUCUUCCGGCGAGCUUCUGGUGAUCUUCCGACGAACUUUCGAUGAUCUCUCAGCAAUGUUCUAGUGGACUCCCAGCAAGCUCCUGGACUUUACGACGAUCUUCUUGGCGAGUUUCGACGAGCUUCUCUGGCAAGCUCCAGGACUUCUCGGCAGAACUUCCAAUGAACUCUCGAACUCCCAAUGAAAUCACGUCCUUGACUCCGGGACUUCAUUUUGCUUCAUGCCUUGCUAUCGUAGUUAAUCCUGCACAUGUAAAAACACACUUCGAUCUAAACAAUUAAUAUUGCGCAUUAAUCAUGUUGUCCGGCAUGUCAUUGGUCCCUCGACGCUUCGUUUGAUUUUUUAGCGCAUCGUCCUCUCUUGCGGCCUAUUACCCAAUCGGCCAGUUGACUCUGCAACUCUGAUAUCCUUGGCGCAAUAUCUGCUCUUCUUGGCCCGAUGACCGAAUCCAUGGCCCGAAGCCUUUUGUCGAUAUGUCGACCAAUCCUUCGGCCCGACGUCCAAUCUUCUGACAUGUUUUCCUCCGACCCAACAUAAUUCUUCCUGCAUUAAUUAUCUCAUCCUGAUCGAAGCAUCCUGCAUCACACAAAACACAGAUCAAAUCAUAAACACUUAUCAAUUGGUUUCAUUACAAAGUACGAGAUUCAACAGGGCAGUGGUGGCAAGGAGGUGUAGGGAAAUCUAGGGUGACAUCACAUACACAGCGGAAUAACAUAAAACAAAAUCGUCAAUUUCCCAAAGAUGUGUUCAUCAUCGAGCGAAGAUUGGUGUACAAAAUUCACGAAACUUAAAACUGCGUAUGUUAAAGAUUAUGUUACCUAGGGAGAUCAUAUAUCCCUGAAUCCCUACAGAUCUCUAGGAUAGGGUGAAGGAGGUCAAGUGUCCUCCUCUCUAGUAGUGAUCUACAUAGUAGUACUAUGACGAUGCUUCUCAAAACUCCAGGCCUACUAUCUGAGGAGGAGAAGGGGAAGAGAAUAAGAGAUUGUUAGGAUCAAGAGUGGCACUAAGAGGAGGGGUGAAUUAGUGGAGCAUAAAACUUUCAUGAUUUCAAAAGACUUGUUUCGAUUAAAACUGAUUCCGACGAAAAUAGUUUUGAUUUAAUCCGUUUCAGAGAGAAUUUGAACUUGAAAGCUUUCAUAAAAUUAAAGCCGAUCUCGGAAGGUGUUUACUUGAAAGCGUACGUAGGCGUAGUAAAAGCACAAUAAGGAGGAGAGGUAGUUUGCUAUAAAAAUAAAUUUCUUAAAUUAAAUGCAAAUCGAGUUUUAGAGUGGUUCGGUCAAUGUGACCUACAUCCACUUUCAGAUUCCUCCUCCGACGAGGUCACCGGCGUCCACUAAAGACCUUCCUUCAAUAGGCGAAGACCGAACACCUCUUUACAACACUUUCUCCUUUUUUCGGGUUUAGGAGAUGAACUCUUACAAGUCUCACUUAUCUUUCUUGGGUGGUUACAAGGGUAAGAUAUGAAGGAGGAGAACUCUAACUUUUACUACACUUUAAGACUCAAGAACUCAAGAUUAAGCCAAUACUUUUGUGCCCUUUCAUGCAGAAAAGGACGGGGUUUUUAUAAGCCCCAAUGGCGUCAAAAAAUGAGCAAAAAAUUAUCUAAUCUCGGAUUUUCCGGGUCCUGGCGAUACCACCGUCAUUACUGGGCGGUGCCACCGCUUAACACCUGAUACUAGGCGAUACCACCACCUAGUCUAGGUGGUACCACCGCUUGAUAGAGCUCGGAGACCGAGCUCUAGCAAUACCACUACUGGCAGCAAUAACUACCAGCGAUACCACUACUGGCAGUAAUAACUGUCGGUGGUACCACCGCCCAGAUUUCCUGAGGCACUGCUUUCCAAGCGGUGCCACCGUCGGCCCUGGCGAUGCCACCGCCGGCUAAGAAUUCAAGGGUUGAAUUGGGUGCUCAAUUCAGCCCAAUUCAGCCCUGUUAAGGGCCCAAUUGGCCCCUAAUUAAGUUAGUGGGAUUAUCUCCCAAUCCUAAUUUAAUUUAUGCUCUAACUACGAUAAUUAAGACAUCUUUACUGCACUUUUUGUUCCGGUGCGUCAAUUGCUCUUCCGGCGAGCUUCCAGCGUACUUCCGACGAACAUCCGAUGAACUCUCGGCAAUGCUCCGACGGACUCCCGGCAAGCUCCUAGACUUUGCAACGAUCUUCUUAGUGAGUUCCGACGAGCUUCUAUGGCAAGCUCCUGGACUUCUCGAUUGGUUCUCGCAGAACUUUCGACGAACGUCCGGUCUUUCGUCGAACUAUCGAACUCCCAAUAAGAUCUCGAUCUUGACUCUGGCACAACACCUACUUUAUGUCUUACUGCCAUCAUAGUUAAUCCUGCAUACUUUUAUCAACAUAUUGAUUAGAUCAAACAAAUUACAAUUGACUUCAUCAUCAAAAUCCGAGAUUCAACAAUCUUCCCCUUUUUGAUGAUGACAAUCAAUUGAUGACGGAGUUAACCUUAACUCCCCCUAUCUAUAUGCCAUACUUAAGAAAAGACAUUCUUGAAUUCAAGGCCUUUGAAUUCAAGAGACAUAUUGAUAAGUUAAGUUCAUUUAAACUUAUCAAUACACACAUCAUGAUUCCUAUCAUGAUCUAACAUUCUGAAAAUGAUGUCAAGACAUGACAUCCAUUUUCAAGUAUGAUAUUUCAAAUAUGAAAGAUGACAAAGAUAGCAGUUCAUCAUUCUAUGGCAAGAUAUCAAUUUGUAAAAAUAGCAAGUUAAGCUCUAGAUAUCUUAUGAAAGAAAUUUAUUAAGCAAACAUUUCAAGUAUCUAUGAUGAAAUAUAUUGCUACAUUUGUCAUCAAUUUAUCACAUUAUGGUAUUAUUCCCCCCCCUUUGUCAUCAACAUAAAGGAGAACGAUUCAACAAUGCAAGUAUGGUAAAAAUUCAUGCCAUAUUUCAAUUUAUAUACUAAUCAUAUUUCAAGCAUUCGUGACAUGGUAUCAUUCAAAAGUUCUCCCAUUAAAAGUUACAAAUAUUAAAGAGAUAGCUUCCAUCAACUUCUCCCUUUUUAUUUUUCAUCAAAACUUCGCAUAAAGAAUGAGAGUAAGGAGGAAAAUCCAUUGAGAACCAACUUUGUGAAAUGAUUUUAAUCAAGUCAAAAACGAUAAAAGAGUUUCAUUAAAUGAUGCUUCAAUUUUCACAAGGAUCAAGAUAUUUAUGUGAAAUCAAAUCCUCACUCUUGCAAGUGUUCAUCUCAUACUAAAAAAAUCAUAAAAAUUCUUCCUUCAUUAAGAAAGAAUUCAUGUGAAAGAAUCAUCGGAUAAAAGAAAUUCCAAUAAAAGAAAUUCUAUGAAUGAUCACAUCAAAUCAAUUUCUCAUUAAAAAUUUACAAGAGAUAAACCCGUGAGAGAUGCAUUUGUCAAUGAAAUCUAUGAAGUGAUAAAAAAUCAUUAAGUAUUGGAGCAAGGGUAUUAAGUAAACUUGAUAUGGCAUAGACUUAUGAAAGCUCCAUUCAAGGAAUACAUUAAGUGAAAGAUAGUAAGAAAAGAUAUAUAUUAAAUUCAUGUAUUCGGACAAAUUAAGAUUCCUAAUUCUCUUCUAAUAAAAUCAAAUUGUUCUUCACUUAAAGGCUUUGUAAAAAUAUUGACUAAUUGAUGUUUUGUAUUAAUAAACUUUAGGAUUACAUCAUGAUUAUUAACAUGAUCUCAUAUAAAGUGAUGCCUAAUAUCAAUAUGUUUAGUUCUAGAGUGUUGAAUAGGAUUUUUUAUUAAACAUAUUGCACUUGUGUUAUCACAUUUUAUAGGAAUGUUUUUAAGAUGAAUCUUAUAAUCCUCUAAAGUAUUUUUCAUCCACACAACUUGUGCACAAUAUACACUAGCUGCAAUAUACUCAGCUUCGGUUGUAGAUAGUGCAACCGAGUUUUGUUUCUUGGAUGACCAAGAAACAAGUGUAUGUCCUAAAAACUGACAUAUUCCGAAUGUGCUCUUUCUAUCUAAUCUACAUCCUACAAAGUCCACAUCGGCAUAUGCAAUUAGUUCAAACUUCUCAGAUUUUAGAUACCAUAAUCCUAGAUUAGUGGUACCUUUAAGAUAUCUAAGAAUUCUCUUAGCUGCUUUAAGAUGAGAUAUCUUAGGAUUAGAUUGAAACCUAGUACAAAAACAUACACUAAACAUGAUAUCCGGUCUAGUUACGAUGAGAUAUAGUAGACUUCCUAUCAUACCCCUAUAAGCUUUUUAAUCAAAGCUUUCUCUACUUUUAUCAAUGUCUAACUUAGUGGAGGUACUCAUGGGAGUAUUGAUAGCUUUUGAGCUAUCCAUAUUAAACAUUUUUAGCAAAUCUAAAGCAUAUUUUGUUUGACUAAGAAAGAUGUCAUUGCUUAGUUGUUUGAUUUGUAAGCCUAAAAAGAAGGUUAAUUCUUCCAUUAAACUCAUUUCAAAUUUAAGACUCAUACUUUUAGCAAAUGAAUUCAUAAAGAGAUUCAUCCGUGGAACCGAAAAUAAUAUCAUCAACAUAAAUUUGAACAAUAAGAAAAUUAUUUUUAAAAUUUUUGAUAAAUAAUGUAGUAUCGACCUUGCCUUUAGAGAAAUUAUUUUCAAUAAGAAAUAAACUAAAUCUCUUAUACCAAGCCCUUGGGGCUUGUUUUAAACUAUAGAGAGCUUUAGUCAAUUUAAACACAUGAUUAAGGAGACUAUCAUUCUCAAAUCUGGGAGGUUGUUCAACAUAAAUUUCUUCGAAAAUAAAGCCAUUAAGAAAAGUACUUUUAACAUUCAUUUGAAAAAACUUAAAAUUAUUACUACUAGCAUAGGCAAGGAGCAUCCUUAUGGCUUCUAAUCGAGCCAUAGGAGCGAAGGUCUCUUCAUAAUCGAUACCUUCUUCUUGGUUGAAACCUUUGGCCACUAAUCUAGCCUUGUAUCGAAACACAAUACCAAAUUCAUCUUGCUUGUUUCUAAAGACCCAUUUAAUACCAAUAACUAAAUGGUCAUUUGGUCUAGGAACAAGCUUCCACACCUCAUUUCUCUCAAAUUGAUUUAACUCUUCUUACAUUGCAAUGACCCAUGAAUCAUCUUUCAUGGCCUCGUCAAUGCAUUUAGGUUCAAUUUGGGAGAGAAAAGCGGCGUUGGAACAAAAUUUUUUAAGAGAAGAACGAGUUUGAACCCCUUUCGAUGUUUCUCCAAUAAUUAGCUCCUUAGGAUGAGUAUCUACAUACUUCUAUUCCUUCGGUAAAGAAGGUUCGGAAGAAGAUGUAUCCAAAUUGGUAUUUGGAGAAUGGGUUUCAUUGAAAUUCAAAGCGUCAAAAUCAAUAUCAUCAUCAAGUUCAUUUUUCUUAACUUCGGAAAUUUCAUUAAAAACAACAUGAAUGGAUUCUUCUAUAAUCAAAGUUCUUUUGUUAAAGAUACGAAAUGCUUUUAAAAUAAAGGAAUAGCUAAGAAAAAUUUCUUCAUCGGAUUUUGCAUCAAAUUUAACUAAGGCAUCUUUUCCAUUCAAAAUAAAAUAUUUACAUCCAAAAACUUUAAAGUAUCAAACAUUGGGUUUUUUGUUGUUCCACAACUCAUAAGGAGUCUUGGAAAGUAGUGGUCUUACUAGAACCCUAUUCCUAACAUAGCAUACUGUAUUUAUGGCUUUGGCCCAAAAAUAUUUGGGUAGGCUAUGUUCAUUCAACAUGGUUCUUACAAUUUCUUGUAAAUUUCAAUUCUUUCUUUCUACUACUCCAUUUUGUUGAGGAUUUCUUGGAGUAGAGAAGUUGUGGUUGUAUCUAUUAGAUUUAUAAAAUUCUUGGAAAUCAUAGUUUUGAAAUUCACUAGCGUGAUCACUUCGAAUUGACGAAAUCAUAAAACAUUUUUCAUUUUGAACAAGUUUACAGAAAUUAAAGAAAUACCUAAAGCAUUCACUUUUGUGUACCAAAAAAUAAGUCCAUGUGUAUCUACUAUAAUUAUCCACGAUAAUUAAUGCGUAUUUGCUACCUCCUAGGCUUGAUGUAGCAAUUGGUCCGAACAAGUCCAUAUGGAUCAAUUGCAAAGGUCUAGAGGUACUUAUUUGGUUCUUAGGUUUGAAGCUACAUUUUAUUUAUUUUCCCAGUUGACAUGCAUCACACAUAUUAUCUUUGACGAACUUGAUAUGAGGAAUUUUUCUUACAAGUUCUUUAGAUGAAAUUUGAGAGAUUAGUUUCAUACUAGUAUGACCUAUUCUCCUAUGCCAAAGCCAAGCAUCGUCAUUCAAAAUUGAAAAGCACAUUUCAUUACAAAGAUCAUUAAUCUCGAUAGUGGAUACAUUAUUUUAUUUUAGGACAAUCAUAGAUGUGUUUUUGUAUGGUUUUUCAAUAAUAUAAACUUUAGAUUCAAAUCUAACGAUAUAUCCUUUAUCAUAUAAUUGACUAAUACUCAAAAGGUUAUGCUUUAAACCAUCAACUAACAAUACAUCUUCAAUAAGAAGGUUGGAUUUGUUACCUAUGGUUUCUUUGCCAAUGAUUUUACCCUUGUUGUUGUCUCCGAAAGUCACAUAUCCUUUGUCUAGGCUAGUGAGCUUAGAGAAAUGAGAUGGAUCUCCGGUCAUAUGCCUUGAGCAUCCACUAUCAAGGUACCAUCUCUUGCUCCUAGCUUAUGAUGGUAUAUUUUUCUACAAAAAGAGAUGAUUUUUAGGUACCCAUUUGACCUUGGGUGCCUCAAAAAUCAAUCUACAUAGCUUAUCAUAUUGCAUUGAGUCACUUGAGGUUCUUUUAGGAACCCAAAUCAAUCUACAUAGACAACAUUUAUUGAAUGGAUAAUGAUAAGCUACAUGCCCAAAUUUGCAACAAAAGUUGCAUUUGUUUCGGGGUGAGACAUGCAAAGUAGGACCUUUAACAAAGGUGGUUGGAUUUUGGUGAGAGCUACUCACGAAUCCAAUUCCGUAUUUUCUAUGAACGUGACCCUUAUUGGCAAGGAUCAUGUUCAAUGAAUUGCUACCAACCUUAAAUUUUUUUAAGGUUUCCUUGAUUAGCAAGUUAUCCUUUCUAAGUAUUUCUAGUUCAUCACAUUUCGUACAUGGAGCUAAACUAUCAUUGUGCUCAACUUUUAAACUAUCGAAAUCAUUAACAAGAGAAGCAUGCUCCUUUUUUAAUAAUUUAUAUUUUCUACUAAUUAAUUUGUAUUCAUCAAAUAAAUCAUGAAAAGCAUUUAAUAAUUCAUCAAAGGAUAAAUUUGCAUCAAAUGAACUUGUUACCUCAUCUCCAAUGGCCAUUAGUGCAUAAUGAGCAACUUGCUUGGUGAUGGUAGGCUCCUCUUUUUCGGAAGCACUUGAGUCGUCCCAUGUAGCUUUGAGAGCCUUCUUCUUUGGUUGUCUCCUCUUUGCGUGGGGACAUUCACUCUUGAAGUGUCCUGGCUUCUUGCAUUCAUAACAUAUCACUUGUUCUUUCUUAGGUUUAAAUUUAUUUUUAGUAUCAUUUUUAAAUUUAUUUCUUUUUAUGAAUCUUUUGAACUUCUUUGUUAAGAGUGCCAAGUCAUCAUCAAAGUCCUCAUCACUUGAGUUUUCUUUCAAGUGGUCUUCUUGUGUUCUCAGUGCUAUGUCCUUCCUGUUAUUUGGAAAGGUGUCCUCAAGCUCUUCAUAAGCUUUACAUGUUAUUUUAUAGGUCAUUAGUAACCCAAUUAGUUCUUCAAGAGGAAAAUUAUUUAGAUCUUUGGCUUCUUGAAUGACCGUUACUUUAGGAUCCCAACUCUUUGGAAGGGAUCUUAAAACUUUAUUAACGAGUUUAAAAUCCUAGAAACCUUUACCAAGUCCUUUUAGACUAUUGACGAUAUCCGUAAAUCAGGUGUACAUGUCUCCAAUGGUCUCACUCGAUUUUAUUUGAAACAACUCAUAAGAAUGCACUAAAAGAUUAAUUUUUGACUCCUUCACUCUACUAGUACCUUCAUGAGUCACUUCAAAUGUGUGCUAAAUGUCAAAAGCCAUUUCACAAACUGAUACUCGAUUAAACUCGUUUUUAUCUAAUGCACAAAAUAAGGCAUUCAUAGCCUUUGCAUUUAAAGCGAAAGUCUUCUUCUCCAAUUCAUUCCAAUCGUUCAUUGGAAGAGAAAACUUUUGAAAGCCAUUUUCUAUAAUAUUUCAUAAUUUGAAAUCCAUUGAAAUUAAGACAAUCCUCAUUCUCGUCUUCCAAUAUAUGUAAUCCGUCCCAUUGAACAUGGGCGGACGUGUAAUUGAAUGACCCUCUAGGUUGCCGACAAAUGUCAUCUCUCUUGGUUUAAAACCAAAUGAGAGUGAAUCUUGCUCUGAUACCAAUUGUUAGGAUCAUGAGCGGAACUAAGAGGGGGGGUGAAUUAGUGCAGUGGAAAACUUUCACGAUUUCAAAAGACUUGUUUCGAUUAAAACUGAUUCUGACGAAAAUGGUUUCGAUUUAAUCUGUUUCGGAGAGAAUUUGAACUUGAAAGCUUUUGUAAAAUUAAAGCCAAUCUCAGAAGGUGUUUACUUGAAAGCAUAUGUAGGUGUAGUAAAAGCACAGUAAGGAGGAGAGGUAGUUUGCUAUAAAAGUAAAUUGCUCAAAGUAAAUACAAACCGAGUUUUAGAGUGGUUCGGAUAAUGUGACCUACAUCCACUUUCGGAUUCCUCCUCCGACGAGGUCACCAGCGUCCACUAAAGGCCUUCCUUCAAUAAGUGAAGACUGAACACCUCUUUACAGCACUUUCUCCUUUUCCCGGGUUUAGGAGAUGAACCCUUACAAGUCUUAAUCCUCUUUCUUGGAUGGUUACAAGGCUAAGAGAUGAAAGAGGAGAACUCUAAUUUUUACAACACUUUAAGACUCAAGAACUCAAGAUUAAGCCAAUACUUUCAUGCCCUUUCAUGCAGAAAAGGGUGAGGUUUUUAUAGGCCCCAAUGGCUUCAAAAAUGGAGCAAAAAAUUAUCUAAUCCCAGAUUUCCGGGGUCUUGGCGGUACCACCGCCAUUAUUGGGCAGUAUCACCACCUAACACUUGACACUAGGCGGUACCACUGCCUGAUAGAGGCGGUACCACUAUUGGCAACAAUAACUGUCGGCGGUACCACCGCCCAGAUUUCCUGGGGCAUUGCUUUCCAAGCGGUGCCACCGUCGACCAAGAAUUCAAGGGCUGAAUUGGAUGCUCAAUUCGGCCCAAUUCAGCCCUAUUAAGGGCCCACUUGGCCCCUAAUUAAGUUAGUAGGAUUAUCUCCCAAUCCUAACUUAAUUUAUGCUCUAACUAUGAUAAUUAAAACAUGUUUACUAUACUUCUUGUUCCAAUGUGUCAAUUGCUCUUCCGGCGAGCUUUCGGCGUACUUUCGGCGAACAUCCGACGAACUCUCGGCAAUGCUCCGACGGAGUCCCGGUAAGCUCCUAGACUUUGCCACGAUCUUCUUGGCGAGUUUCGAUGAACUUCUAUGGUAAGCUCUUGGACUUCUCGGUUGGUUCCCGUAGAACUUCCGACGAACGUCCGGACUUCCGUCGAACUCUUGAACUCCCAAUGAGAUCUCGAUCUUGACUCCGGCACAACACCUGCUUUAUGUCUUAUUGCUAUCAUAGUUAAUCCUGCACACUUUUCUCAACAUAUAUAUUAGAUCAAACAAAUUACAAUUGACUUCAUCAUUAAAAUCCGAGAUUCAACAGAGAUGACAACCCAAAGAGUCUCUAGCCUAUGAAUUAUUGGUUCUCUCCUAUUUAUAGAGGUCCCUUAUCAACUUAACUCUAAUGGAUCCUAUCUUAUUAGGUAUCGGUUCUCUAUACAACUACCAAAGCCUCUUAGAUUAUUGGAUCUCUAUCCAAUAAUCUCUUAUUGGCUCUUAUUGAAUCUUAUCCAUAAGAUCCAAUGAUUCAAGGGCUUAUUCUAUAUCCAAUAAGAUAGAGGCUCCGACGGAUAUCUCAUAUCCAAACUUCUACUCAUCGCAAUACCUACCAUAUAUAUGUGACCCUCUAGGCCCAAUAUCGAGUUGGCCAUGAGUCAUACAUGUCAAAACUCCUUCUGGCUCAGUGAAUUAUUAUCUCUAUAAUAAUUCACUCGACUUAUCAACUAUGGACGUACUAGGCCACUACGUUGUAGUCCCCAAACGAUAUAGGGGAAUCCAAUCGAUUGGACUUGUCUAUCCUCAGUUACCAUAUACAUAUAGUCCCUCAUCCAUCUAAUAUCCCAAAGACCAUACACUAGGCAUGGUGUUAUCAAACCCGUGUGGUUUCUACUCGAGUCUCGCUCUAAUCGGAUUUUCCCGAAGAACUCUUUCUCUCCCAAUUCGAAUGACCCUGGUUAGGGAUUUGUUUGAGCAAGAAUACAUGGGAUAUUUCUCUCAUGACACCGAGAGUGGAUGUUUAAAGGUGAAUCGAUCUCAUUAUCGUGAUCUCAUCACGAUUUGAUUUCCAUUGCACAGAUCCAUGGAUAUCAUAAUAUACGACAAGCAACAUGUAAUAUAAAGUAAGAAAAUACCAAAUAAUAAUAAGAAAAAAGACUACUUGUCAAGUCACAUGUGCCAUCACUCAUGUGAUUGGCUUACAGGGCACAUAUAGCUAGCAAUCCCCCACUUGACUUAAAGCCAAUCAUCGAUGUGUCUGAACCCCAUCAGACCCCUGUGAUGCUCAAAAAUAAUUUGAGACAAUGGUUUUAUUAGUGGAUCUGCAAUAUUAUCGUUGGAUGAAACUCUUUCCACUGCUACAUCUCCUCGAGCCACGAUCUCUCUAAUAGGCUAGAACCUCCUAAGAACACUUCUGAUGAGACUCAGGUUUCCUCAUUUGAGUAAUUGCCUCAUUAUUAUCGCAAUAUAAGAGAAUAAGCUCCUCGCUGCUCGACAUGACUCCUAGAUCUAUGAUGAACUUCUUCAUCUAGACUCCCUCCUUUGGUACAUGGUAACUAAGGACAGAUAUGUCCAAAGGAUUGAAUUCCCAUGUAUUGUCUAGGGACUACGGCGUAGUGGCCUAGUACGUCCGUAGUCGAUGAGUCCAGUGAAUUAUUAUUGAGAUAAUAAUUCACUAAGCUAGAAGGAGUUCUGACAAGUAUAACUCACACCCAACUUGAUAUUGGGCCUGGAGGGUCACGCACUUAUGGUAGGUGUUGCAACGAGUAGAGAUUCGGAUAUAAGAUAUCCGUUGGAGCCCCUAUCUUAUUGGAUAUCCAAUAAGCCUCGGAAUUAUUGGAUCCCAUGAAUGAGAUCCAAUAAGAGAUAAUAAGAGAUUAUUGGGUAGAGAUCCACUAAUAUAAGAGGCUUGGGUAAUUAGAUGAAGAUCCAAUACCUAAUAAGGCAGGAUCCAUUAGGAUUAACCAGGGGCCUCUAUAAAUAGGAGGGAACUAAAGGCCCAUAGGCUGGGGCUUCUUGGGUGCCACCUCCUAUUCUCCUCUCUCCUUCUCCUCUUUAGAGAGUAGGCCUGAAGAUUUGAGGAGCAUCGUUGCAGCUCUGCUGUGUGGAUCACCGCUAAAGAGGAGGAUGCUUGACCUCCUUCAUCCACUCCUACAUAUCUGUAGGAAUUUAGGGAUAUACGAUCUCCUAAGGUAACACAACUAUCUCACACAUGUUUUCUGUGUCGUGGAUUUUAUACACCAAUGUUCGCAUGACGACAAACACGUAUUGGGAAAUUUAGGAUUUUUUUUUUAUGUUCUUCCGCUGUGCAAGUGAUGUCGACCCUAGAUUUCCCUACAUUAGCCACUAGCAUUGCUUUAUAGGUCUCUACCUUUCCAUCUACUCUGAUCUUCUUCUUGAAUAUCCACUUGCAACCGAUGGGUAGAAUACCCUCGGGUGCAUCAACUAGGUUCCAAACUUAGUUGGAGUACAUUGAAUCCAUAUCAGAAUUCAUGGCUUCUUACCACUUCUUAGAGUCUAUACUCAUAAUAGCCUCCUUGUAGGUAUGUGGAUCAAUAUCCUCUCAUCUAAUAUGUCCCACAUAUCUCUCAGGAGGAUGAGAUACUCUAUCGGACCUACGUAAAGUCGGAACUUGUGUGCUAGGUACCUGAACGGACUCGAGCUGUAUAGUGGUGCUUGAGCUAAGUUCUCCAACCUCACUCAACUCUAUCAUGCUCCCAUUGUCUCCGCUAAGAAUGUUUUCUUUCUCAAGGAACAUCGUUCUCUUGGCUACAAAGACCUUUUGGUCCUCGGGUGAUAGAAAUAAUAACCACAAGUUUCCUUGGGGUAUCCCACGAACUUGCACUACUCCAUCCUUGAUUCCAACUUAUCGGGGUUGUCUUUUAACGUGGGCAGGGUAGCCCCAAAUCUUAACAACCUUAAGAUCAUACUUCUUCCCUUUCUAUAUCUCAAAUGGUGUAGACACUACCAUCUUAGUUGGAACUCUGUUUAGAAGGUAAGCUAUGGCCUCUAGGGCGUAACCCCAAAAUAAGAUGGGGAGGUUGGCGAAGCUCAUCAUGGACCGCACCAUGUCUAAUAGUGUACGAUUCCUCCUUUCAAAUACACUAUUGAGUUGAGGUGUAUAAAGAGGUGUCCAUUGGGAUAGGAUCUCAUGGUCUUUAGGGAACUGUGUGAACUCUGUACUCAAGUACUCACCUCCUUAAUCUGAUCAAAGAGUCUUGAUACUCUUUCCAGUCUGGUUCUCUACUUUAUUCUUAUACUCUCUGAAUUUCUCAAAGACCUCAGACUUGUACUUCAUCAAGUACAUAUGUCCAUACCUUGAGAAACUAUGAGUAAAAGUAAUAAAGUAUGAGUAACCACCUAUGGCAUGAGUUGAUAUGGGUCCACAUACAUUACUAUGUAUGAGUUAUAGUAGCUCAAUGGCUCUCUCUCCAGUUCUACAAAAAGGAGAGUUGGUCAGUUUUCCAUGAAGGCAAGGCUCACUAGUACAUAUGACUCAGUCGAAUGAAUCUAGAUAUCCAUCCUUUAGCAACUUUUGAAUCCUUCCCUCAUGGAUGUGACCUAGCCUACAAUGCUAUAGGUAUGCAUUAUUCACCUCAUCUCGUUUCCUCUUGGACACUCUUACAUUCAUGAUAUGUGGAGCAGUAUCUAGUAUAAACAAACUGUUAUGCAAUGUUCCUCUCGUGAUGAUCUCAUCAUCUAAUAUUAUUGAACAAUCAUUGUUCUUAAAAACUAAUUCAUUUCCACUAAUUGUCAAACAUGAAAUAGAAAUAAUAUUUUUGAUAAUAGAAGGAACAAAAUAACAUGCAUCCAAUGCAAUAAUAGCUCCACUAGGCAGAUGUUGGGUGACCUCGCCAAUAGNNNNNNNNNNNNNNNNNNNNNNNNNNNNNNNNNNNNNNNNNNNNNNNNNNNNNNNNNNNNNNNNNNNNNNNNNNNNNNNNNNNNNNNNNNNNNNNNNNNNNNNNNNNNNNNNNNNNNNNNNNNNNNNNNNNNNNNNNNNNNNNNNNNNNNNNNNNNNNNNNNNNNNNNNNNNNNNNNNNNNNNNNNNNNNNNNNNNNNNNNNNNNNNNNNNNNNNNNNNNNNNNNNNNNNNNNNNNNNNNNNNNNNNNNNNNNNNNNNNNNNNNNNNNNNNNNNNNNNNNNNNNNNNNNNNNNNNNNNNNNNNNNNNNNNNNNNNNNNNNNNNNNNNNNNNNNNNNNNNNNNNNNNNNNNNNNNNNNNNNNNNNNNNNNNNNNNNNNNNNNNNNNNNNNNNNNNNNNNNNNNNNNNNNNNNNNNNNNNNNNNNNNNNNNNNNNNNNNNNNNNNNNNNNNNNNNNNNNNNNNNNNNNNNNNNNNNNNNNNNNNNNNNNNNNNNNNNNNNNNNNNNNNNNNNNNNNNNNNNNNNNNNNNNNNNNNNNNNNNNNNNNNNNNNNNNNNNNNNNNNNNNNNNNNNNNNNNNNNNNNNNNNNNNNNNNNNNNNNNNNNNNNNNNNNNNNNNNNNNNNNNNNNNNNNNNNNNNNNNNNNNNNNNNNNNNNNNNNNNNNNNNNNNNNNNNNNNNNNNNNNNNNNNNNNNNNNNNNNNNNNNNNNNNNNNNNNNNNNNNNNNNNNNNNNNNNNNNNNNNNNNNNNNNNNNNNNNNNNNNNNNNNNNNNNNNNNNNNNNNNNNNNNNNNNNNNNNNNNNNNNNNNNNNNNNNNNNNNNNNNNNNNNNNNNNNNNNNNNNNNNNNNNNNNNNNNNNNNNNNNNNNNNNNNNNNNNNNNNNNNNNNNNNNNNNNNNNNNNNNNNNNNNNNNNNNNNNNNNNNNNNNNNNNNNNNNNNNNNNNNNNNNNNNNNNNNNNNNNNNNNNNNNNNNNNNNNNNNNNNNNNNNNNNNNNNNNNNNNNNNNNNNNNNNNNNNNNNNNNNNNNNNNNNNNNNNNNNNNNNNNNNNNNNNNNNNNNNNNNNNNNNNNNNNNNNNNNNNNNNNNNNNNNNNNNNNNNNNNNNNNNNNNNNNNNNNNNNNNNNNNNNNNNNNNNNNNNNNNNNNNNNNNNNNNNNNNNNNNNNNNNNNNNNNNNNNNNNNNNNNNNNNNNNNNNNNNNNNNNNNNNNNNNNNNNNNNNNNNNNNNNNNNNNNNNNNNNNNNNNNNNNNNNNNNNNNNNNNNNNNNNNNNNNNNNNNNNNNNNNNNNNNNNNNNNNNNNNNNNNNNNNNNNNNNNNNNNNNNNNNNNNNNNNNNNNNNNNNNNNNNNNNNNNNNNNNNNNNNNNNNNNNNNNNNNNNNNNNNNNNNNNNNNNNNNNNNNNUAUAUAUACGAUGUAGAUGUAUAUUAAAUAUGUAUGUGUAUGACAUAUCAUAUUAGGAGACCAAAUCAAAGAAACGCCUCUCUCGACAAUAUUAAGUUGGUAAACGUGAGACAAUUAGAUUGAUUCACGUGGCCUUCUAUCAUUAUAGGUAGGGACCGAUUCUCGGUGUAGGUUGAGUUGGUCGAGUCCCUCGAGGCUCACCUAUAUCACGAUUCGCUAUCUUGUCUAUGACAUAGAGAUGUCACCGGUGACCUAAGGACAUGGUAUGCUUGGUCGAGUCUUUCGAGGGUAUAUCAUUAAAUCAAACUCAUCUUGUAACGAUAGUGUUGACUUAACAAACAUAAUAGUUAGUCGAGUCCCUUGAGAUCAUGGUGAUUUGGAGGCCGAACAGGAUGAGAAUCAUAAGGAGUUGUGAUUGGCAAGAGUUGCCUACUAUUCGGUCUUAGCAUGAUUGGUCAAGUCCCUCAAGGUUACACUAAGAUGCUGAUUGGAUCCUGAUCCCCAUUAGAAGUAUGCCGGAGACUUUCGUUUCACGUGCUAAGGGUGUCGCGUGACUCGUUAGUAAAAUAGUAUAAGCAUAUUAAGAUAGAAGUCCAUAUCUUGAUUAUUUAUUUUUUUACAAAAUAUGCAUAUUUUUUUAUUUCUACUACAUCUUUAUUUUCAGAAAAUGUCGCUUUCAAAUCCAUUACAUGGCAUACUUGAUGUCAACCGCCUCACUGGUCCUAAUUAUACAGAUUAACUUUGCAGCUUGAGAAUUAUUCUCACGACAGAGAAAAUCACAUACGUUCUUGAUACAAUGAUGCCUAUGCCCGAGGAAGGGGCAAGCGAGGAUGAGAUCGCUCGCUACGUGAAGUACAUUGAUGACUCCACUCUUGCUCAAUAUUACAUGUUGAGCUCCAUGAUUCCUAAGUUACAAAGACAGCAUGAAAAGAUGGAUGUCAAAUCCAUUCUCUAACAUGUCUGUAAAUUGUUUGAGGAAUAGGGAAGGACACAACUAUAUGAUAUAUCUAAGAGUCUAUUCUGUGCUAGGAUGACUAAGGGGACACCGGUUUAGAACCAUGUCCUAAAGAUGAUUGAGUGGAUAGAGAAACUCACAUGUCUAGGAAUGGUCCUAGAGGAUAUCAUAUUUGUGGAUCUUGUGCUUCAGUCCCUACCAGAUUCCUUUUCACAGUUCAUAAUAAAUUUUAAUAUGAACAAGUUUAAGGUGACUCUCCCGGAGCUCUUCAAUAUGUUGAGGGAGGCAGAGAGCACUAUCAAGAAAGAAAAGUCAAUUCUCUACACCAGUGAGACUAGAAAGAAAAGGAAAGUAAAAAAUUCUCUUUAAAAGAGCAAGGGCAAGAGUAGACUAGGUAAAGCAAAGGUUACAAAGAAAGACCCAACAAAGUGUUAGGAUCAAGAGCACUAAGAGGGGGGAGGGGGAGUGAAUUAGUGCAGCAAAAAACUUUCGACGAUUUAAAAUGACGUUCGUACGAUGAAAUCAUUUUCGACGUAAAACCAUUUUCGAAAACUUAACUUGAAAGCGAGUUCGUAAAGGAGUGCAGCAAAAGUAAUGAGGAAGUAAAGCACAUAUGGAGGUUUUCAGUAAGGUAAGCAGCAAGAAUAAAUGCAAACCAGAGAGCAACGUAAUUUUAGAGUGGUUCAGUCAAUCUUGACCUACAUCCAUUUUGGCUUCCUCCUCCGACGAGGUCACCGACGUCCACUAGAGGCCUUCCUUCAAUAGGCGAAGGCCAACCACUUUUUUAUAGUUUCACUUCUUUUGACGGGCUUAGGAGACAACCCUUACAGAAUUUUCACUCAUCUCUUGAAUGAUCGAAACUUAGAAGAAAAGAGGGAGGAGAACUUUUAGCUUUUACAACACUUUUGAGCUCUCAAAUUCUCAGAAUAAGAUCAAGAUUUUGGUGCCCUUUCAGGCAGGAAAGGGUGGGGUUUAUAUAGGCCCCAACUGGUUCAAAUUUGGAGCUCAAAAAUGUCAUCUCCCGGAUUUCUGGGGUCCUAGCGGUACUACCACCAGACUGGGCGGUACGACCACCUGACAGAGCUCGGAGACCGAGCUCUGGCAGUACCACCACCUGACAGGGGCGAUACCACCGCCCAGUCUCGCUCAGAGACUGAGCCCAGGCGGUGCCACCACCUGACUGGGGCGGUUGCACUGCCCAGCUUUCCUGGGAGACUAAGCUCCUAAGCGGUGCCACCGUCGACCCAGGCAGUGCCACCGUCUACCCAAGCGGUGCCACCGUCGGCCAAGAAAUCUGGGUCCGAAUGGGCUAAUCCAUUCGUCCCAAUUUGGGUCUAUCAAGGGCCUAAUUGCCCCCGGAUUAAGUUAAUGGGAUCAUCUCCCAUUCCUAGCUUAAUCUACAUGCUAACUACGAUAUUUCUUAAGACAUUUACUGCAACUUGCUCCGGUGCAUCAAUCGCUUCUUCCGGAGAGCUUCCGGCGAACUUCCGACGAACAUCCGACGAACCCUCGACGAUGCUCCGGUGGACUUCCGACCAACUCCUGGACUUGCGACGAUCCACUUGGCGUUUCAACGAGCUUCUUUGGCAAGCUCAUGGACUUCUCGGAUUUGUUCCCGCAGAACCUCCGACGACCGUCCGGACUUCCGUUGAACUCUCGAACUCCCAACGUGAUCAUGGUCUUGACUCCGGCGUAACUCCUACUACAUGUCUUACUUCCAUCGUAGUUAAUCCUGCACACUUAUCUCAACAUAUAGAUUAGAUAAUAAAUGACAAUUGACUUCAUCAUCAAAAUCCGAGAUUCAAUAAUCUCCCCCUUUUUGAUGAUGACAAUCAAUUGAUAAUGGAGUUAACCUUAAUUCCCCCUAUCUAUAUGCCAUAUUUGAGAUAAGUCAUUCUUGAAUUCAAAGCCUUUGAAUUCAAGAGACAUAUUGAUAAGUUAAGAUCGUUUAACCUUAUCAAUACUCCCAUCAUGAUUCCUAUCAUGAUGUAUCUCUCUGAAAAUGAUGUCAAGGCUUGACAUCCAUUUUCAGGUUUUACAUUUUAAGUGUGAAAGAUAGCAAUCAUAGCAAUUCAUCAUAUGGUAAGAUAUCAAUAUGUAAAACUGCGAUGUAAGUUCUAGAUAUCUUAACAUAGUGUAAAUAUGACAAUAACAUAGUGCAAAUAUGGCAUAGUGCAAAUAUGGCAAUCAUAGCAAUUCUAUCACCAAUUUAUCAUAUAUUUCGAUGCAAGCUUUUGAUAUCUUAACAUAAUUCAAAUUCAAAUAUGGCACUCAUAGCAUCAAUUUAUAUAGCAUUAAAUUCAAAUAUGGCACUCAUAACAUCAAUUCAUAUAUUUCUCAUUCAAAUAUAGCACUCAUAGUAUCAAUUUAUAUAUUUCUCCCCCUUUGUCAUCAACAAAAAGGAGAACGAUAUUAGUAAAUUUUAACUAGGUUUAUGUCAUUUUUCAAUAAUGAGUUAUAGGAUACCAAUUAUACAAACUUCUCAAGGAAAACAUGACAUGGAGAUGACUUUCAUUACUUCUUCCUCUUUAUUUGUUAUUAUCUUUUUGCAUGAAGGAGGAAAGCCAUUUGUGAGCUUACUCGAAUGAGGUUAAAAUUGAUAAGAUAUUAAAGCACGCGUUAUUUUUGCAAGAAUCAAGAUAUGUGUGUGAAUCAAAUCCUUGCACGUAUAACUAUUUCUCAAAAGAUAUAAGAAGGAAUUGUCAAAUCCAUUUCUCGAAAGAUAUUUUUCACAUGAUAACUCUAUGAGAGAUGCAUUUGCUAGUUAAUCCCAUAUGUCAAAAAUCAAUGAUGUGAAUCCAAAACUUGAUAUGACAUAUGUUUAUUAAGUUCGGAAGAGAAUAAUGUAUUAAGAAAAUCCGAUUGUUAGGAUCAAGAAGAUCCGAAAAUGAAAUUUAACACUUUCAUGCAUUCGGACGAGGUUUUGCUAUAGAUUUUUAAAUUCAAAAAUGAAGAUAAAAUAUGCUUAUUAUCAUGAAAAUUUUUAUAUCCAAAACACAUAAUUUCCAACAUGUAAUUAAGGCAUGUAAUUGUGUAAAAUCAUCAUGGCAAUUAAGUGAUUUGAUCAUUUAAUUAAAAAAAAUCUGAAAAAUAAUCUUAACAAGUUCAUGCAUUCGGACAUAUUAACAUUCAUAAUUCUCUUCUAAUGAAAUCAAAUUGUUCUUCACUUACAGGUUUUGUAAAAAUAUCAACUAGUUGAUGCUUAGUAUCAAUGAACUCUAUGAUUACAUCAUGAUUAGUGACAUGAUCUCGUAUAAAGUGAUGUCUAAUAUCAAUAUGUUUUGUUCUUGAGUAUUGAAUGAGAUUCUUUGUUAAACAUAUUGCACUUGUGUUAUCACAUUUAAUGAGAAUAUUUUUAAGAUGGACUUUAUAAUCUUCUAAGGUGUUUUUCAUCCACACAACUUGUGCACAGCAUGCACUAGCUGCAAUAUACUCAGCUUCGAUUGUUGAUAGUGCAACCGAGUUUUGUUUCUUAGAUGACUAGGAAACAAGGGAAUGUCCCAAAAAUUGACAUGUUCCUGAUGUGCAUUUUCUAUCUAGUCUACACCCAGCAAAAUUCGCAUCAGCAUAAGCAAUUAACUCAAAAUUCUCAGAUUUUGGAUACCAUAAUCCUAGAUUUAUGGUACAUUUAAGAUAUCUAAGUAUUCUUUUAACCGCUUUGAGAUGAGAUAUCUUAGGGUUCGAUUGAAACCUAGCACAAAGUCCUACACUGAACAUGAUAUAUGGUCUAGUUGCAGUGAGGUAAAGUAAACUUCCUAUCAUACCCCUAUAAGUUUUUUGAUCGAAGCUUUCUCCACUUUCAUCAACUUCUAACUUAGUGGAGGUGCACAUAGGAGUGUUAAUAGCUUUUGAGAUAUCCAUAUUAAAUCUUUUCAGCAGAUCUAAAGCAUAUUUAGUUUGACUAAUAAAGAUAUCAUUGCUUAAUUGCUUAAUUUGUAAGCCUAAGAAAAAGAUUAAUUCUCCCAUCAAACUCAUUUCAAAUUCGAGACUCAUGGUUUUAGCAAAAGAUUCAUAAAGAGAUUCAUUCAUAGAACCGAAGAUAAUAUCAUCAACAUAAAUCUGAACAAUGAGAAAGUUAUUUUUAAAAUUCUUGAUAAACAAUGUAGUAUCGACCUUGUCAUUUGUGAAAUUAUUUUCAAUAAGAAAAGUACUAAGUCUAUCAUACCAAGCCCUUGAGGCUUGUUUUAAACCAUAGAGAGCUUUAGUUAAUUUAAAUACAUGAUUAGGGAGGCUAUUAUUUUCAAAUCCGGGAGGUUGUUCAACAUAAACUUCUUUAGAAAUAAAGCCAUUAAGAAAAGCGCUUUUAACAUCCAUUUGAAACAACUUAAAAUUAUUAUUAUUGGCAUAGGUAAGGAGUAUCCUUAUGGCUUCUAAUCUAGCCACAGGAGUGAAGGUUUCUUCGUAAUCGAUACCUUCUUCUUAGUUGAAACCUUUGACCACUAAUCUAGCCUUAUUUCUAACCACGAUACCACAUUCAUCUUGUUAGGAUCGGAGUGGCACUAAGAGGGGGGGGUGAAUUAGUGCAGCGGAUUAAAACUCAUAAGUUUGAAAACAAAUUCGUAAGUACGAGGAGAUUUCGUUUUGAUAGUAACUUGAGUAAAAUGAGAAAAUGAAAUUCGAAAGCUAAUAGUAGUGUAAAUGAUAAUUUCAAGAAGGUAAAUACUC
rnacentral:lncRNA from 1 species